UCAGGCCUAACACAUGCAAGUCGAGCGGGGUUUUCGGACCCAGCGGCGGACGGGUGAGUAAUGCGUAGGAAGCUACCCGACAGAGGGGGAUACCAGUUGGAAACGACUGUUAAUACCGCAUAAUGUCUACGGACCAAAGUGUGGGACCUUCGGGCCACAUGCUGUCGGAUGCGCCUACGUGGGAUUAGCUAGUUGGUGAGGUAAUGGCUCACCAAGGCGACGAUCCCUAGCUGGUUUGAGAGGAUGAUCAGCCACACUGGAACUGAGACACGGUCCAGACUCCUACGGGAGGCAGCAGUGGGGAAUAUUGGACAAUGGGCGCAAGCCUGAUCCAGAAGUGCCGCGUGUGUGAAGAAGGCCUUCGGGUGUAAAUAAAUGUCAGCGAGGAGGAAGGGUUGUGUG
rnacentral:rRNA from 1 species